GUAUCACAUAGGGCCAGAAAAUUUGCGUUGGGCCACGGGCCGCCGCCUACCCGGCUCCAGCCGAACGCGCGCCGGCCGCUCUGGCACGGCGGCGGGUUCAGCCUCGGCGUGGACCUAAACGCUUCAUUUUUACGAAAAAAAAACCUAUCUUUGUUUGAAAUACAGUCCGCAAUCCUCUAAUUCAUCUUAUCCAAACUCCUUCCUUUCCAGCGACGGCGGAGCACGGGCAGGUGACGGGCGGCGCCCUUGUCGUCGGACGGCUACAACCGCGGUGGAGGAGAAGGCAGACGUCGUGGGUGCGUGCUUGGGUAAGGGAGGCCACCCUUGCUGUGCUCGUGGGCGUUCAUGGAGGAUGGAAGGGGGGACAGCUUCCUGUGGGUGCGCCGGCUGUGCUCGUGGGCGUUCAUGGAGGAUGGAAGGAAAUUGGAGGCCUGACCUGUCCUUCUCCAACACAAAUUGAUGGAGCGCCCGACCUGGAUUUGAUUGGCUGCUAUUAGUAAGGGUCCUCGGCCGGAAUCUCCAUCAGGUCGUGCCCUGGGACCAUAAUCUCCAUCAUCCCGUCGAAAUUGCAAUUUUUGACCAAACGUCCAAUGUCACCGCCAAGUUCGCCGGAGGAAAAAGCGCCGAGUUCGCCGGAGGAACAAGAACAUCCGUCGAGCCGUGCAAUGUCUCCUAUGGAGGCUACACGAGAGGUACGUAUCCCCUUGAAAGCUAAUCACUCGAUGGUAUCCCCUGUUUUAGUCAUUGUUUCUGUCCCAUCACUCGAGGGAGUACUAAACAACUUUUCUCUCUGUAGUUUCUGGGGUUGUCCAACAUGUGUUUCUCAGAUUAAUGCCUUCAACACCCCUCUUUCCACAUGCAUGCAUGUAGUAGCAGAUUGCCUGAUCUGUUGGCCUAAAUAUUCUCUUUGCAGUGCUCUUAUUAUUAGUUCAGACUUGCAGACCCAUGUUUUUUGCUCAAAUCAAUCUGUCAAAACUCCAUUACAGUUGCACAAGACCUGAUAUGCAAACGUUUGCGUGGAGCUAACUUCUUUGGGCAUGCGGCCAGUGUGUAUGUGCAUAUUUUUCAGUAGAAUUAAGUGCCUGGUGCCACUUGAAAGAAUAAAAUAAUGAUCAGCUAUUUUUUGUUACAGUUACGAUUUAGUCAACAUUGAUGUCCUUCUGCAAAAAGCUUAUUUUGAUCUGGAGUUGCAAAGAUUUUUUACAAGCAUUUGUAGAAUGGGAUGCGCCGUCGCCGCCGCCAGCACGGUCCCAACAGCUGCCGCGAGUCUCCACGAUCGACGUCGCCGUCCGUCUGUGCCCCGAGCUCGACGGUUCUCCGGCUGACAAGCAUUCGUUCAUGUCCCCGCCAGUGUUAGGCGUUGCUCGCCACCGCCCCAGAUCGCUUUCGUGCGUCAUCGCCGCCCCAAGCUCCAUGAGCUAAUUGAAGAGGGAGUGCUUGGCCUGCUUCAUGUAUUGUCUCAAAACAACUUGCCGUGCCAUAUUUCUGUGCUUCAUGUAUUGUCUGAAUACUUGAGAGUUUCAAGGAUCCCAGAUGUUCCAAAGGA